AGCAAUGUAGCACAGUGGUAAGGAGCAGGGCUUGUAACCGAGAGAUUGCUGGUUCGAUUCCCUGCCGGGGCAC